rnacentral:rRNA from 1 species
GACGAACGCUGGCGGCGUGCUUAACACAUGCAAGUCGAACGGAAAGGCCCUGCUUUUGUGGGGUGCUCGAGUGGCGAACGGGUGAGUAACACGUGAGUAACCUGCCCUUGACUUUGGGAUAACUUCAGGAAACUGGGGCUAAUACCGGAUAGGAGCUCCUGCUGCAUGGUGGGGGUUGGAAAGUUUCGGCGGAUGGGGAUGGACUCGCGGCUUAUCAGCUUGUUGGUGGGGUAGUGGCUUACCAAGGCUUUGACGGGUAGCCGGCCUGAGAGGGUGACCGGCCACAUUGGGACUGCGAUACGGCCCAGACUCCUACGGGAGGCAGCAGUGGGGAAUAUUGCACAAUGGGCGGAAGCCUGAUGCAGCAACGCCGCGUGCGGGAUGACGGCCUUCGGGUUGUAAGCCGCUUUCGCCUGUGACGAAGCGUGAGUGACGGUAAUGGGUAAAGAUGCACCGGCUAACUACGUG